AUGGUAAGAAGGAAGUAUUUGGCCAAUGGCCCUUGUCAACCUCGUACUGCUGAUUUUGAAGUGACAGAAAUAUGUGGUCAAGAUAGAAGGUUCGUUCGGGAAUGGUUUGAUGAGUUUGGGAGCUGGCUUGAGUAUAGUGAGUCCAAACGAAAAGCAUAUUGUUUUUGUUGUUUCUUGUUUAGACCGCGCAAGAAGAAAGAAGCCGGAUAUGAUGCAUUUGUUGCAAAUGGUUGGUCAAGUUGGAAUAAAAAAUAUAGAUUAAAGGAGCAUGUAGGAGACAUCAAUAGUGCUCACAACCAAGCAAAAAGAGAUUGUGAUGCUUUGCUGAAACAAAAGCAACACAUCUAUGUUGCUCUAAACAACCAAAGUAAUGUUGAGAGGAAUGCUUAUUAUACUCGACUAAAUGCCUCAAUUGAUGUUACUAGAGUGUUACUGAAGCAAGGGUUGCCUUUCCGUGGCCACGAUGAGUCUGACGAGUCUCUCAAUAAAGGUAAUUUCAAGGAAUUGCAUGCUUACACAGCAGAGCAGAAUCCGGAGGUAAGAAAAGUUGUGGCCCAUAAUGCUCCAGGUAAUAAUCAGUUGACUUCUUCAAAGAUUCAGAAGGACAUAGUUGAAUGUUUUGCAAAGAAGAUAUUGCAUUCUGUUCUUCGGGAAAUUGGGAAUGAUGUAUUUUCUUUGCUAGUUGAUGAAUCAAGGGAUGUGGCUGGUAAAGAGCAAAUGGCGGUGGUAUUGCGGUAUGUUGGUAAAUGUGGAAGUGCCAUAGAGACAUUAGUUGGCCUUACUCAUGUGAAGGAGACAACUUCCAAGUAUCUCAAGUCUGCCAUUGAUGAUUUAUUUGCAGCAUAUAAAUUAAGUUUCAAGCAAGUUAGAGGGCAAGGAUAUGACGGUGCGAGCAAUAUGCGAGGUGAGUUUAAUGGCUUACAAUCCUUAAUCAUGAGAGAGAAUAGCACAGCAUAUUAUGUUCACUGUUUUGCCCAUCAGCUUCAGUUAGUUGUUGUGGCUGUUGUUCGGAAGCACAAAUGCAUUGGUAAUUUUUUUGAUAUGAUCUCAGUCUUGUUGAAUGUGGUCUCUGGAUCCUCAAAGAGAAAGGACAUGAUUCGAGACAAACAUAAAGAACAAGUUUUGAUUGAUAUGUUCCCUACAGUUGUCAAAGUGCUAGAAUAUGUGGAAGAAGAAGACAGGGAUGACACAAAUAGAAGGCAGGCAUGUGGUCUUCUUCUUAUGUCCACUAUAUUGAUAAUCACAAACACAUUAUCAUUGGCUCUACACCGGAAGAAUCAGGACAUUGUGAAUGCUAUUAAUUGUGUGAAUUCAACCAAAGCCUCCUUGAAUGAUCUAAGGAGAAAUGGAUGGGAAUCUGUCCUACAUGAAGCAUAUGUCUUUUUGGAUUGUUUUAAUGAUGUUAUUGAUUGGCUGCUUCAAGAACUUGAUAAUCGCUUCAAUGAGAAAAAUUCUGAACUACUUGUUUGCUCAGCGGCUUUGAGCCCAAAUGAAUCAUUUCAUGAUUUCAACUUAGAACAUUUGAUGAGUCUAGCUAAACUUUAUCCAAAAGAUUUUGAUGAUGGAGAAGUCAGGGACCUUAGGCAUCACCUUCAUCUUUACAUUGCUGAUGUCCGAGCAGAUGAUCGCUUCUCUGGAUUAAGUAAUAUUUGUGAGCUCUCUCAAAAAAUGGUGGACACAAGAAAACAUAUUGUCUAUCCCUUGGUUUACCGACUUUUGAAGCUAGCACUAGUAUUGCCUAUUGCCACUGCUACAGUUGAGAAAUCUUUUUCAGCUAUGAGAAUUGUGAAGACAUAUUUGCGCAAUCGUCUUGGUGACGACGCCUUGAAGUACGACCUUAUUUGUUAUGUGGAGAAAAGCGAAAUGAGGAAGGUUACUAAUGAUGCGGUAAUUGAUCGCUUUGAAGCCAUGAAAAAACGUCGGAAACCAUUUUAG
rnacentral:rRNA from 1 species